rnacentral:rRNA from 1 species
AUGUAUACUCGUCAACCUCUCAAUCCCAAGAGCAAUGAUGACUUGGGAUCCCAUGGACUAUCAUCACCAACGUCCCCUUCGCGCAAGGACUAUGCGCAACUCCUGUACUUGGAUCUCACACGGCUAUGGGCCAUUUACCACUUCUCACAUUAUACUCAUUUUACCGUGUUCACUUUGCAUGCUAUGCUUGCUUCUAUGCCUUUGCCAUGCAAUUGUGACCCUUGCUUGCAUCUACCCAUGGUUCAUCAUUAUGCUACUUCUAUGUGUAUUUGCAUGCUUGGUAGAGAUCCUUGUUGCUAUUGCCAUGUUUAUCAUGUGCCCCAUGCUAUUGAUACUAUUUUGCUCAUAUCUUGCCUUUAUGCUUGUGAUAUGUCAUGUGCAUUAUUCAUGCCCACUAUUUGCACACAUGACAUGAUUGCCAUGAUUCCUUCUAGUAUGUUGCAUCUUCGCACUACUAGCAUGCUUGACUUGAUUGCUAUGAUUGCUUGCUAUGUUGCAUCACCCAUGUUCCACUAUCACUUGCUUCCUUGGGUUGAUGACAUAUAUGCAUACACUUGUUCUCGCAUCAUAUGCCUACAUACUAUGAAAUGCUCCCUUGUCCUUUCUUAUGAUGAGCAUGAUGCAUACACUUGUUGGGUAUCUCGCCCCUCGAAUGAUAGGUCUUGCUUUUGCACUAACCUCAUUUGUUUUUCCAAGUGUUUCUCAUGUUCUUUCAUUUUGAAGGAUUCACAAGGCAUCGACAUUGACCUAUGGUACAUCCAUGCCUACCGUGUACAUGGCGAUACGGUUUACGAUCCGAGGUCGGAUCUUUUCAAAGGGGGAGGAGAUGAUACGGAGCAUCCCACGUUCAUCUCCAUGUACACCUUCAUAGCACAUCAAGCCCCAAGUGGACCUACCGGACUUAAGGUGAACCCGCUCCUCUUCAAGAUUUACAUGAAUAUCCAUAGGACUUGGUGGCUACCUCACCACGGAACGUUGUGCAUCUUCAGGUACGAGGACAACCGCCGCCAAGCAGCUAAGGAGCUUCCCGGAGGCCAAGGAGAAGGACCCCAAGGCCACAAGAAGGAAGAAGGAGGGCGACAAGAUCGAUUCAGCACCUCCCAGGCGACCCCGUGCCCACGGGCCUCGAAGACCCCGUGCGCACGGGCUACUCAGCGAGUCUGCACUGGAGCACCCCGUGCGCACGGGCCUGUACCGUGCCCACGGGACCCCAGUGCGCAUGGGCCCAACUUACCCCGUGCGCACGGGCCCUACAGGAUGGAUGGCUGUGAGCUGCUGUUUGGGCCUCCUCUUCAUCCAUUUCGUCCCCAUGACUAUAUAUUCUGUACCUAG